GAGGCAAUAACAGGUCUGUGAUGCCCUUAGACGUUCUGGGCCGCACGCGCGCUACACUGACGGAGCCAGCGAGUAUUAACCUUGGCCGAGAGGUCUGGGAAAUCUUGUGAAACUCCGUCGUGCUGGGGAUAGAGCAUUGUAAUUAUUGCUCUUCAACGAGGAAUUCCUAGUAAGCGCAAGUCAUCAGCUUGCGUUGAUUACGUCCCUGCCCUUUGUACACACCGCCCGUCGCUACUACCGAUUGAAUGGCUUAGUGAGGCCUCCGGAUUGGUUUAAAGAAGGGGGCAACUCCAUCUUGGAACCGAAAAGCUGGUCAAACUUGGUCAUUUAGAGGAAGUAAAAGUCGUAACAAGGUUUCCGUAGGUGAACCUGCGGAAGGAUCAUUA
rnacentral:rRNA from 1 species